rnacentral:lncRNA from 1 species
GAUUUGUGGAUUGUGCUGUUGAUCCAAGGGCCUUUGAGGCUUGAUCUUAGGAUGAACAAGUGAUGAACAAUGAACGCUUUCUUCAAUGGGGUCGUCGGGGCUUGAUCUUGAAUUAUGGAAGUUCUUCAAGGGUUGUUGGGGAUUGAUCUUGAAGGAGGAAGUCCUUCAAGGGCUGUUGGGGCUUGAUCUUGAAGGGGGAUUUGGUGGAAGUUCUUCAAGGGCUGUUGGGGGCUUGAUCUUGAAUGAGGAUUUGACGAAGAACGAAGAGAGAGCUUUCUUGAUCCUUCGGGAUUUGCUUGGGAGCUUUGGAGUUUCAAAGCUUCAAGGUUUUAGUGUGAGGUGAAUUGGUUAUGAAUUGGUGUCCCCAAAAUGAAUGCCUUGGCUUCCUAUUUAUAGAAUUCCAAAACUUGAUUUCUGGAUUUAAAUAAUCAAAUGAAAUAAAUCAUUUCUGCCAAGUGUUGACACAUGUCCUGUUUGAUUACUUUUCCGAUGAUACUCGAUUUUUCGUUGAGUCACAUGCUAUGUGUAAAAUUUAUGUGACACAUGAACGUUGAAAUUUUAAUUAUUGAUCAACAUUAUUUCAUCGAAAUUUCAAUGUCUACAGAAUUAUUUUUUUUGACAAACGAUAUAAGUUAUUUGCAAAGUUAUUUUGACUAUAGGUCGUUCACUCACCCAUAACAAAACACAUUGAGCUAUAAUUUAGUAUCAUACU